UGACAUGUUGAGUCAUUGAGUCUCCACAGACUUUUGAAAGGGAACCAUUAAUCAAAACAUUCAAGAACCAGAGGGUCCCAGAGAAAAUCUUUCUUCUGAUCUGGAAUUAUGUUAUCGACCACAGAGAGCGGCUACUUACAAUUCGUGGGAGAGGGCCCUGUGUGGUGAGAGGUCCAUGAAUCUCUUUGUUCAGUAUAUCCACAAAGGAGGAUAAGGUCCUUUCUGCCCACUCUGGUUCCUGCAAGCUAUGUGAAAGCUCCUCCAGGAACAGGAGAAUAGCUGCCACAGGUAGCUGCUACUGCAUAAAAGCCAAAAUUAGCAGCAAUUUUCUGUCCAAGACUUUCCUUGGAAGUUGUAACCUUCAGUAGACUCCAGAGUUCUUACAUAGUUGCAUUAGACAGAUUCUUUCAGUGCAGAUGUUGUGUAGGUGGGGAGGCAUAUUCCUUGUGCUUAUUACUCCACCAUCUUCAUGGAGUUAUCCUGUAGGAGUUUUUUGUAUGUUGUGAAUACAAAUCUUUUGCCACAUGAAUGUAUUGGAGUAUUUUUCCCCCAGUCUGUUGCUUAGUUAUUCAUUUUCAAAACGAUUAUUCUUUUCAUGAGCAAAAUUUUCUUCAAGUUCAAUAUUUCACUUCUUAUUUUUAUGAUUAGUACAUUUUACGUUAUGCCUAAAAACUUUGACUACGCUAUGGUUGCAAAUAUAUUUUUUAGAAGCUUUAUGGUUCUUUUACAUUUAGGUCUGUGAUCCAUCUUGAAUUAAUUUUUGUAUAUGGAGUGCAGUAAGGGUCAGAAUUCUCUUCCCAAUGACCUAUCCAGUUGUUUCAGCACAAGUUGUUAAAUAGACUUUCCUUUCCCUAUUGAAUUGAUUUGGUGUCUUGGUUGAUAAUCAAUUGACUAUAUAUGCCUGGGUUUACUUCUGGACUCAAUUUUGUUUAU